rnacentral:rRNA from 1 species
GACGAACGCUGGCGGCGCGCCUAACACAUGCAAGUCGAACGAGAGAUGAGGAGCUUGCUCUUCAGAUCGAGUGGCGAACGGGUGAGUAACGCGUGAGGAACCUGCCUCAAAGAGGGGGACAACAGUUGGAAACGACUGCUAAUACCGCAUAAGCCCACGGCUCGGCAUCGAGCAGGGGGAAAGGAGCAAUCCGCUUUGAGAUGGCCUCGCGUCCGAUUAGCUAGUUGGUGAGGUAACAGCCCACCAAGGCGACGAUCGGUAGCCGGACUGAGAGGUUGAACGGCCACAUUGGGACUGAGACACGGCCCAGACUCCUACGGGAGGCAGCAGUGGGGAAUAUUGCACAAUGGGGGAAACCCUGAUGCAGCGACGCCGCGUGGAGGAAGAAGGUCUUCGGAUUGUAAACUCCUGUUGUUGAGGAAGAUAAUGACGGUACUCAACAAGGAAGUGACGGCUAACUACGUG